UGGGCCAAUGAUGACCACUGGUGGCGUAUGAGUUAUGCACCAUGAAUACUGUGUGGGAACUCUGAGGUCCAG
rnacentral:snoRNA from 1 species